GCUGCAGAGAAACUCGCAGCAGGUCGAGCGAGGACUGAGUUGCUGGGGUUUGUGUCCCGGUGGCCGUGGUUUUCUGAUUUACAGAGAACUCCUGACUCCGUGUCGUCGCUGCAGGCCGGCUACAAGGUGGACAGCACCUUCCUAGAACACGCUUUCCUGGGUCACACCUUGUAGUAAAUCAUCAACUUCUGAGACUACGAAACAAGCCAACAUUCGCCGUCAGUAGAUGCAGACGUGCAAACGCCGAUAAAAAUCUAGUGUUUUUCCCACCUCCUGCUGCUGCACAGUUGUGUGUGUAACGCAGUGGAAGGACCAAGUCACGAAUGUGCAGGACGACAGCCACUUACGAAGGAAGCAGAUGGGGCUACUCGUGGACAUUUGUAGAAGCUGCAGACACAGAGCCUGGCCAGCUCCACCACGUGCUAGCAUGUCUGCUUGUUUCUACCAGAUCUCAUCGACCGGGUUAGCCAAAGUGCUCCUGAAGUAGAUUCCUGUUGGUGCAGUAACCAAUUGCCACAAACUUUUGUUUUUAAAAAAAAUUUUUUUUAAUUUAAAACAGCACAGAUGUGUCACAAGCAACCCUAAUAUUUAUCAGAAGUCUUGAACCCCGUUAAACUAAAACCCAAUGUCAAAGACACACCACAAAGAGCCUAUGAAGUUGGAGAGGAAGGCAAGGAAGCAGUUACUUUCUUUCUAUCACAGACUGCUUGCCUGUAGCAAAUUACUGGAGAUUGAACUCAGGCUCAUGCAGUUGCCAGGAAGGUGUGACACCAUUGAGCUACAUCCCCAGCCCAAGAUAUUUUAUUCUUU